UACGGGGGGGGCAAGCGUUGUUCGGAAUUACUGGGCGUAAAGCGUGCGCAGGCGGUUGUGCAAGGCAGAUGUGAAAUCCCCGGGCUCAACCUGGGAACUGCAUUUGUGACUGCACGGCUGGAGUGCGGCAGAGGGGGAUGGAAUUCCGCGUGUAGCAGUGAAAUGCGUAGAUAUGCGGAGGAACACCGAUGGCGAAGGCAAUCCCCUGGGCCUGCACUGACGCUCAUGCACGAAAGCGUGGGGAGCAAACAGG
rnacentral:rRNA from 1 species